GUAGGGAAUAUUGCACAAUGGGCGAAAGCCUGAUGCAGCAACGCCGCGUGCGCGAUGAAGGCCUUCGGGUCGUAAAGCGCUUUUCGGGGAGAUGAGGAAGGACAGUAUCCCCGGAAUAAGGCUCGGCUAACUACGUGCCAGCAGCCGCGGUAAAACGUAGGAGCCAAGCGUUAUCCGAAUUCACUGGGCGUAAAGCGCGUGCAGGCGGCAUGAUAAGUUGGAUGUGAAAUCUCCUGGCUCAACUGGGAGGGGACGUUCAAUACUGUCAAGCUAGAGGACGGCAGAGGGAGGUGGAAUUCCCGGUGUAGUGGUGAAAUGCGUAGAUAUCGGGAGGAACACCAGUGGCGAAAGCGGCCUUCUGGGCCGAUCCUGACGCUCAGACGCGAAAGCUAGGGGAGCGAACGGGAUUAGAAACCCUUGUAGUCC
rnacentral:rRNA from 1 species